AAUUUCUUCAUCUUCUUUCUCCUCCAUUCUCCUCCCCUAUAUUAAAUUUUCUCUCCCCUCCCUUCACCUCCGUUGAACCAAACGGACCCUAAGGCUUAGACUCUAAAUCCAAGCUCGAAAUCACCCAAAAACCUCUCAAACGCCCGAAUCAAGGGUUCCAAACCGAAGCCCUAAAUCAAACAAACCAUCGGUCAAAAGACCUCAAAUGCUUAAACACUCAGACAUAAAAAAAAUGCUUAGCAACGGCUCCUGAAGCGAAGCCCCCAAACAGAAAUGGAAAAUGCGCAAGGAACAAAGCAAAUCGAAGUUCACAUAGGUUUAUCUUUGAAGAUAUAUUCUCAGGUCUGAAAUUGAAAACUCAAGGAAAUCUUCAAAUGAUGAGGCCAGAAGCGGAUGUGAUCUUGGAAGCACCGGACAUUGGUUCUCUGUAUGCAUAUGGUUUGAGUUUUCUUUAGAAUGGUGAUUCCAUGCAUGUGUUGAAGUUACAUUGAACUGUGUUGAUGACCUUGUGUGAAUGCCAUGAGAAUUAUACUGAAAUUGCAUUGGCAUAGGGUACUGAUUUUUGCAAGUUGGAAACUUCAUGUUUGUGUAGGUCAUGGCAUGAGACUUUGAACAAAUGAUAUAUGGUUUGAAGUCAUAUGGUGCAUAAUGCUAUAAGACACGAUGCAUUGAGGAAUGUGUUUAAAGAUUAGCAUAGAAGAUAGGACUAGAGUAAACAGACUCAAAGCCUGUGUCAAUGGUCAACUUUUGACUAUAAGUCAACAGUUGACCAAAAAGUCAAUUGUUUUCAAAUUAUGUAUCUUUUCAUUUCUUUAGUAAUGUACUGAUUUUGUACUGGAUUUGAAUGUAUAUAGUGGUUGACUUGUAUUCCAAGAAA